rnacentral:rRNA from 1 species
GACGUAUCUAGUGCGUAUUCAGCUGUUAGCGCCAGCGAUUCAUUGCUGUGUAGUUCUGUAACAUUGUCUACCUACAAUGCUUUGUCGUUGGUGUUAGCGGUGCAUUUGCGUACAGAGUGCGCCGAAUCAAUUGGAUGCGUUGUUUGAAACCAAUGAAGAGGACCAUACGCAAGUCAUGGAACCCUAUCUUGGUGAAUGACAAUUGCAUCUAAUUGUACACACAAAGAACUGGUGUAUUCGUGCCUGUUGAUUGUGAUUUAGGCUAUUUGUGUGUAGUGCUUGCAUUUUACAUUUAUAGUUUAAGUUGCUGUUAGUGGGUGCUCUGUUCUUAUUCGGUGUCUAGUCGGUCACCCAUUUGACCCGUCUUGAAACACGGACCAAGGAGUUUAAGGUUUACGCAAGUCAUUGAGUGUACAAAACUUAAAGGCGUAAUGAAAGUGGGACACUUAGUGUCUGUGAUGUGAUGUGUUGUUGUUUCGACAACUUCACAGCAGCAUCGACCCAUGUCUAGAAUUUUCAUUCUGAUGUGGAGUCCGAGCGUAAGCUUUGAGACCCGAAAGAUGGUGAACUAUGCCUGAACAGGACGAAGUCAGAGGAAACUCUGAUGGAAGUCCK